rnacentral:rRNA from 1 species
AGAGUUUGAUCCUGGCUCAGGAUUAACGCUAGCGGCAGGCCUAAUACAUGCAAGUCGAACGGCAGCACGGGUAGCAAUACCUGGUGGCGAGUGGCGCACGGGUGCGUAACGCGUAUGCAAUCUACCUAUAACUGGGGAAUAGCCUUCCGAAAGGAAGAUUAACACCGCAUAAUAUCACGAAACGGCAUCGCUUUGUGAUCAAAUCUCCGGAGGUUAUAGAUGAGCAUGCGUGACAUUAGCUAGUUGGUGAGGUAACGGCCCACCAAGGCUACGAUGUCUAGGGGGUCUGAGAGGAUGAUCCCCCACACUGGUACUGAGACACGGACCAGACUCCUACGGGAGGCAGCAGUAAGGAAUAUUGGACAAUGGCCGCAAGGCUGAUCCAGCCAUGCCGCGUGCAGGAUGAAGGUGCUCUGCAUUGUAAACUGCUUUUGUUUGGGAAUAAACCCCUCUACGUGUAGAGGGCUGAAUGUACCAAAAGAAUAAGGGACGGCUAACUUCGUGCCAGCAGCCGCGGUAAUACGAAGGUCCCGAGCGUUAUCCGGAUUUAUUGGGUUUAAAGGGUGCGUAGGCGGGUUAUUAAGUCAGUGGUGAAAGCCUACAGCUUAACUGUAGAAUUGCCAUUGAUACUGAUGAUCUUGAGUAUGAUUGAGGUGGGCGGAAUGUGUCAUGUAGCGGUGAAAUGCUUAGAUAUGACACAGAACACCGAUUGCGAAGGCAGCUCACUAAGUCAUAACUGACGCUGAUGCACGAAAGCGUGGGGAGCAAACAGGAUUAGAUACCCUAGUAGUCC